rnacentral:rRNA from 1 species
AUGGUCAAGCUACAAAGAGCGCAAGGGGAAUGCCUUGGCACUGGGAGCCGAAGAAGGACGCAACUAACUGCGAUAAGCUAUGGGGAGCCGUAAGUGGGCAUUGAUCCAUAGAUUUCCGAAUGGAGCAAUCCGGCUGGAGUCAUGUCCAGUCAUCGUAAACUGAAUUCAUAGGUUUACGAGGGGAACCGCCUGAACUGAAACAUCUAAGUAGGGCGAGGAAGAGACAUCAAAUGAGAUUCUGCUAGUAGUGGCGAGCGAACGCGGAAGAGGCCAAACCGAGGGUAGCAAUACCUUCGGGGUUCGGACAGCAUUUAGCAUGCUAAGCUUUAGUUGAACGGUAUGGAAAGGCCGGUCAAAGAGUGUGAGAGCCACGUAAACGAAAAGGCGAAGCAGCGAGCUGUAUCCAGAGUACCGCCGGACACGUGAAACCCGGUGGGAAGACGGGGGGACCACCCUCCAAGCCUAAAUACUACCCAGUGACCGAUAGAGAACAGUACUGUGAAGGAAAGGUGAAAAGCACCCCGGGAGGGGAGUGAAAUAGAACCUGAAACCUUGUGCUUACAAGCACCGAGAGCCCGUCAAUGGGUGAUCGGGUACCUUUUGUAGAAUGGUCCGGCGAGUGAAUGUAACUGGCGAGGUUAAGGACUUAAGGUCCGGAGCCGCAGCGAGAGCGAGUCUUAAUAGGGCGCAUAAAGUCAGUUGUAUUCGACCCGAAACCGGGUGACCUACCCAUGUCCAGGUUGAAGUGAGGGUAAAACCUCAUGGAGGACCGAACCGACUCCCGUUGAAAUGGUAGCGGAUGAGGUGUGGGUAGCGGAGAAAUUCCAAUCGAACCCGGAGAUAGCUGGUUCUCUCCGAAAUAGCUUUAGGGCUAGCCUCGUAUUAGAUUACCGGAGGUAAAGCACUGAAUGGUUAAGGGGCCGAGAGGCUACCAAGACCUAUCAAACUCAGAAUGCCGGAUAAUUGAUGUACGGGAGUCAGACAGCGUGAGAUAAGUUUCGUUGUCAAAAGGGAAACAGCCCAGACCCACAGCUAAGGUCCCCAAACACGGUUAAGUGGAAAAGGAUGUGGGGUUGCACAGACAACCAGGAUGUUGGCUCAGAAGCAGCCAUACAUUAAAAGAGUGCGUAAUAGCUCACUGGUCGAGUGACCCUGCGCCGAAAAUUUAACGGGGCUAAAUCGUGUACCGAAGCUUGGGAUCCGAAAGGAUGGUAGGAGAGCGUUCUGUAUGGGGUGAAAUCAAAGCGGAAGCGUUGGUGGACUAUACAGAAGUGAGAAUGCCGGAAUGAGUAGCGCGAAAUGUGUGAGAAUCAUAUUGACCGAAAGUCUAAGGUUUUUGGAGGAAGGUUCGUCCGCUCCAAGUAAGCCGGGAGCUAAGGCGAGGCCGAAAGGCGUAGUCGAUGCACAUACGGUGGAAAUUCCGUAGCCGCCAAAAGAUUUAAGUUAAGAGACACCUGCAAAGCGAAUAACCCGGGCGAUGGUUGCCCCGGGCGUAAGGGACCAAAAUUAGAGUAGGGAAGUAUUUGUAGAGCAGGGCAAGAAAAGCUUAAUGUAUAUCUGAGGCGCCCGUACCGCAAACCGACACAGGUAGACAGGAAGAGAAUUCUAAGGUCAACGGGAGAAGGGUAGUUAAGGAACUCGGCAAAUUGGCCCCGUAACUUCGGAAUAAGGGGCGCCUCCUGCAAGGGAGGCCACAGUGAAAAGGCUCAGGCGACUGUUUAUCAAAAACACAGGUUUCUGCCAAAUCGAAAGAUGACGUAUAGGAGCUGACACCUGCCCGGUGCUGGAAGGUUAAGAGGAGAUGUGCAAGCAUUGAAUUGAAGCCCCAGUAAACGGCGGCCGUAACUAUAACGGUCCUAAGGUAGCGAAAUUCCUUGUCGGGUAAGUUCCGACCCGCACGAAUGGUGUAACGAUCUGAGCACUGUCUCAAUUACCCGCCCGGCGAAAUUGUAGUACCGGUGAAGAUGCCGGUUACCCGCGACAAGACGGAAAGACCCCAUGGAGCUUUACUGCAGUUUAAUAUUGGGUUUCGGUAAUUUAUGUACAGGAUAGGUGGGAGACAUGGAAACCGGUGCGCCAGCGCUGGCGGAGUCGACCUUGGGAUACCACCCUUAAGUUGCUGAAAUUCUAACCUGCGGCCGUGAAACCGGCCGGGGGACAUUGUUAGACGGGCAGUUUGACUGGGGCGGUCGCCUCCUAAAAGGUAACGGAGGCGCUCAAAGGUUAGCUCAGCACGGAUGGAAACCGUGCUACUGAGUGUAAACGCAUAAGCUAGCCUAACUGCGAGGAUGACAGUCCGAGCAGUAACGAAAGUUGGAGUUAGUGAUCCGGCGGUAUGAGAGUGGAAUUGCCGUCGCUCAACGGAUAAAAGCUACCCUGGGGAUAACAGGCUGAUCUCCCCCAAGAGUCCACAUCGACGGGGAGGUUUGGCACCUCGAUGUCGGCUCAUCACAUCCUGGGGCUGUAUUCGGUCCCAAGGGUUCGGCUGUUCGCCGAUUAAAGUGGUACGCGAGCUGGGUUCAGAACGUCGUGAGACAGUUCGGUCCCUAUCUGUCGUGGGCGCAGGAUAUUUGAGGAGAGCUGUCCUUAGUACGAGAGGACCGGGAUGGACGCACCGCUGGCGCACCAGUUGUCAUGCCAAUGGCACAGCUGGGCAACUAUGUGCGGAUCGGAUAAACGCUGAAAGCAUCUAAGCGUGAAGCCGACUCCAAGAUAAGAUAUCCCAUUGCGUAAGCAAGUAAGACCCCUUGAAGACUACAAGGUUGAUAGGCUGCAUGUGUAAGCACAGUAAUGUGUUCAGCUUGGCAGUACUAAUAGGUCGAGGGCUUGACCAUA